AGAGCUUGCUCUCGGGUGACGAGCGGCGGACGGGUGAGUAAUGUCUGGGAAACUGCCUGAUGGAGGGGGAUAACUACUGGAAACGGUAGCUAAUACCGCAUAAYGUCGCAAGACCAAAGUGGGGGACCUUCGGGCCUCAUGCCAUCAGAUGUGCCCAGAUGGGAUUAGCUAGUAGGUGGGGUAAYGGCUCACCUAGGCGACGAUCCCUAGCUGGUCUGAGAGGAUGACCAGCCACACUGGAACUGAGACACGGUCCAGACUCCUACGGGAGGCAGCAGUGGGGAAUAUUGCACAAUGGGCGCAAGCCUGAUGCAGCCAUGCCGCGUGUGUGAAGAAGGCCUUCGGGUUGUAAAGCACUUUCAGCGGGGAGGAAGGCGUUAAGGUUAAUAACCUUGUCGAUUGACGUUACCCGCAGAAGAAGCACCGGCUAACUCCGUGCCAGCAGYCGCGGUAAUACGGAGGGUGCAA
rnacentral:rRNA from 1 species